UUCCCCAUCCCCGAAAGUGUGCGGUUGCCGUAAGGCGCCGCACAGCCCGAGGAUGGGGCUGCGGCGGAUUAGGUAGUUGGCGGGGUAACGGCCCGCCAAGCCGAAGAUCCGUACGGGCCAUGAGAGUGGGAGCCCGGAGAUGGCCCCUGAGACAAGGGGCCAGGCCCUACGGGGCGCACCAGGCGCGAAACCUCCGCAAUGCGGGAAACCGCGACGGGGUCAGCCGGAGUGCCCGCGCAUCGCGCGGGCUGUCGGGGAGCCUAAACAGCUCCCCAUAGCAAGGGCCGGGCAAGGCCGGUGGCAGCCGCCGCGGUAAUACCGGCGGCCCGAGUGGCGGCCACUAUUAUUGGGCCUAAAGCGUCCGUAGCCGGGCGGGUAAGUCCCCCGGGAAAUCUGGCGGCUUAACCGUCAGACUUCCGGGGGAUACUGCCCGCCUAGGGACCGGGAGAGGCCGGGGGAAUUCCCGGGGUAGGGGUGAAAUCCUAUAAUCCCGGGAGGACCACCUGUGGCGAAGGCGCCCGGCUGGAACGGGUCCGACGGUGAGGGACGAAGGCCAGGGGAGCGAACCGGAUUAGAUACCCGGGUAGUCCUGGCUGUAAACGAUGCGGGCUAGGUGUCACCGGAGCUACGAGCUCCGGUGGUGCCGGAGGGAAGCCGUUAAGCCCGCCGCCUGGGGAGUACGGCCGCAAGGCUGAAACUUAAAGGAAUUGACGG
rnacentral:rRNA from 1 species